rnacentral:rRNA from 1 species
AUGAAGGCUCUCGGGUUGUAAACCUCUUUCAGCAGGGACGAUUGUGACGGUACCUGCAGAAGAAGCCCUGGCCAACUACGUGCCAGCAGCCGCGGUAAUACGUAGGGGGCGAGCGUUGUCCGGAUUUAUUGGGCGUAAGGAGCUCGUAGGCGGCUCGGUAAGUCAACUGUGAAAGCUCCGGGCUCAACUCGGAGAGGCCAGUUGAUACUGCUGUGGCUAGAGUCCGGUAGGGGAGCGUGGAAUUCCUGGUGUAGCGGUGAAAUGCGCAGAUAUCAGGAGGAACACCAGCGGCGAAGGCGGCGCUCUGGGCCGGAACUGACGCUGAGGAGCGAAAGCGUGGGUAGCAAACAGGAUUAGAUACCCUGGUAGUCCACGCCGUAAACGUUGGGCACUAGGUGUGGGUCUCAACCAACGAGAUCCGUGCCGUCGCUAACGCAUUAAGUGCCCCGCCUGGGGAGUACGGCCGCAAGGCUA